CCUGUAGUCCCUCCGUUCGGAAUUACUUGUCGCAAAAAUGAAUGUAUCUAGACGUAUUUUAGUUCUAGAUAUAUCCAUUUCCAAGACAAGUAAUUCCGAACGGAGGGAGUAAUAG
rfam:Triticum aestivum genome assembly, contig: Triticum_aestivum_CS42_TGACv1_scaffold_049649_1BS